ACUCUUUUCAAUUUUUUGUUUUUGUUUUUAGGGGCGGAUUUAGGCUUAGGCUACAUGGUGCCGAUGCAUCUACUCUAUCGUCCUGCCGCAAUGGAAACCUUUUUCUAUUCGUGUUGAAAAUUUCAUGUGCUUUGGAUUUUUCUAAAUUUAUCCCUACUUUUGCUCAUAUCUUUUAAUCUAUAUGCAAUUUAGUCUCUGAAUUUACAGAUCUAGAUUUCCUUCAAGUUAGAUCUAAUUUUCUUUCAAAAUUCUUGUUUCAAGGGUCAAAGUGAUUUCUGAUCGGAUAUCGCUGGUAAACAUUUUAAUUUAAAAGGUUAUUGAUUGUUUUCAACAAUCUGAAGAAACAAAUGCUAGAUCUGACUUGCACGGCCGUUUUGCCGAAUAAUUCUGUUUUCGAUCUGGACAUUGAUGCUGAUCAUCUUAUCGUUGUUCAUAAAUUCUACGUGUUCUUGAGUUUCAGAAUAAUGCGUAAAAACGAUGUAUAUAUGAUACAUGUUUUUCUUCUUCACUGUUGCUGGAUGAAAUGUCUAGAGCUCUGAAGAAUCCCCAUUGGGCCACUACAUUAUUUAAGAAACCAAAUCCACAAGGUGAAACAAGAGUCAUCGGAGUUGGCUGCAUCUGUUGAACCCGAGGGACUGAGGUGGUGGUUUGAAUGGAGGAAAGCAUUUUUGAGACUCUAUCGUUACGCCAUCAAUUAUAUUUCAUUCAUUGCUAAGAUUAAAACUUCUUCACAAUCUUUUCUUUGAGUUCAGAAUAACUGCACAACGAAGGCAUUUGAGAUGCACAACAAAGGCAUUUGAGAUGCACAACGAUCCAACUAAAUCAUUUGCAAAGAUGCACAUCGAAGGCAUUCAUUUGAGAUGCAGAACAAAGGCAUUUGGGAUUGAUGAAGGGGAAUUGAGGUUCUUUAGAAGCUUGUUUUGUGGAUAGGGAUGUGAUUUGUACAAGUUCUAAUUUAUGAUUAUUGUGUACAAAAAUUUUGAUUACCAUAUUUAAUUACGGUUCAAAUGUUUAUAAUUGUAUCUUUUAUGUUCAAUGCAUAUAUGGUUUUUGAUGAAA